UACGGGGGGGGCUAGCGUUAUUCGGAAUCAUUGGGCGUAAAGGGCGCGUAGGCGGCGCGGUAAGUCAAAGGUGAAAUCCCUCGGCUCAACUGAGGAACUGCCUUUGAAACUGCCGUGCUUGAGUCCGGGAGGGGGUAGCGGAAUUCCCAGUGUAGCGGUGAAAUGCGUAGAUAUCUGGAGGAACACCGGUGGCGAAGGCGGCAUCCUGGACCAUUACCGACACUGAAUAGCGAAAGCCAGGGGAGCAAACGGG
rnacentral:rRNA from 1 species